rfam:Vigna angularis cultivar Jingnong 6 chromosome 7, whole genome shotgun sequence.
AUUAGUUCAGUUGGUUAGAGCAUCGUGCUAAUAACGCGAAGGUCGUAGGAUGGAGACCUAUAU